GAGAGCCCUCUGCAGAGACGUCAUGCAGGAGAACUAUGAGAACGUGACCUUGCUGGGGGCCAAUGGCCUGCGAGGAGGGGGCUAUGUAUUUCACCAGGGAAGAGUGGGCUCUGCUGGACCCUGCUCAGAGAGCCCUCCACAGAGACGUCGUGCAGGAGAACUAUGAGAACGUGACCUCGCUGGGUGCUGGGCUGGUGAGUGAGACAAUGGAGCAGAAUUCUCAACAGGAAGAUGAUGAGGAAGUGGAACCACAUGGCACACUAUUGCAAAGAUGCAAAGGGAGUGUGUCCAGGAGUUGUGAUCAGGGAAAAGCCUGUGAGAGUCAGCACAUUCCAGAGAGGUGGCAGGGAAACCAGGCAAUGCAGAAGGUUGGUUAUUCUGUUUAUUAUCGGAGAACUCACAGACUUCUCAAGGAAACCACGGCCCAGCAGAGAAUCCCCAGGGGAGAGAGAAAUAACACGUGUGUUGAGUGUGGGGCCUGGUCUACCCUACGAGUUUAUAUCGAAUUUAGCAGCGUUAAAUCGCAUUAACCCUGCACCCGUCCACACAA